rnacentral:rRNA from 1 species
GUUGGUGUUAAUGACGUUGAGGGUCCACCCGUUCCCAUCCCGAACACGGUAGUUAAGCUCAACAGUGCCGAAAAUACUUGGCGGGCAGCCGCCUGGGAAGAUAGGUCGACGCCAACA